UACGGAAGGGGCAAGCGUUGUUCGGAAUCAUUGGGCGUAAAGGGCGCGUAGGUGGUUCUGUAUGUCUACUGUGAAAGCGUACGGCUCAACCGUAUUUUGUCGGUGGAAACUGCAGGACUUGAGGCUGGGAGGGGCUGGUGGAAUUCCCUGUGUAGCGGUGAAAUGCGUAGAGAUGGGGGAGAACACUCGUGGCGAAGGCGGCCAGCUAGACCAGUUCUGACACUGAGGCGCGACAGCGUGGGGAGCAAACAAG
rnacentral:rRNA from 1 species